GACGAACGCUGGCGGCGUGCUUAACACAUGCAAGUCGAACGGUAAGGCCCUUCGGGGUACACGAGUGGCGAACGGGUGAGUAACACGUGGGUGAUCUGCCCUGCACUUCGGGAUAAGCCUGGGAAACUGGGUCUAAUAUCGGUUAGGACCCUGGGAUGCAUGUCCUGGUGUGGAAAGCUUUUGCGGUGUGGGAUGGGCCCGCGGCCUAUCAGCUUGUUGGUGGGGUGAUGGCCUACCAAGGCGACGACGGGUAGCCGGCCUGAGAGGGUGACCGGCCACACUGGGACUGAGAUACGGCCCAGACUCCUACGGGAGGCAGCAGUGGGGAAUAUUGCACAAUGGGCGCAAGCCUGAUGCAGCGACGCCGCGUGAGGGAUGACGGCCUUCGGGUUGUAAACCUCUUUCAGCACCGACGAAGCGCAAGUGACGGUAGGUGCAGAAGAAGGACCGGCCAACUACGUGCCAGCCGCCGCAGUAA
rnacentral:rRNA from 1 species